rnacentral:rRNA from 1 species
GAUGAACGCUGGCGGCGUGCCUAAUACAUGCAAGUCGAGCGAACUGACGAGAAGCUUGCUUCUCUGAUGUUAGCGGCGGACGGGUGAGUAACACGUGGAUAACCUACCUAUAAGACUGGGAUAACUUCGGGAAACCGGAGCUAAUACCGGAUAAUAUUUUGAACCGCAUGGUUCAAAAGUGAAAGACGGUCUUGCUGUCACUUAUAGAUGGAUCCGCGCUGCAUUAGCUAGUUGGUAAGGUAACGGCUUACCAAGGCAACGAUGCAUAGCCGACCUGAGAGGGUGAUCGGCCACACUGGAACUGAGACACGGUCCAGACUCCUACGGGAGGCAGCAGUAGGGAAUCUUCCGCAAUGGGCGAAAGCCUGACGGAGCAACGCCGCGUGAGUGAUGAAGGUCUUCGGAUCGUAAAACUCUGUUAUUAGGGAAGAACAUAUGUGUAAGUAACUGUGCACAUCUUGACGGUACCUAAUCAGAAAGCCACAGCUAACUACGUG